CGUAUAAUAGUGCCUAAUUGUUUUUGUCAUUUAUAAGUGUAACCUAGAAGAUAAACGUGAUACAGUGGUGGCGAAGCUCGUACAUCUAUUCACUAUGCCCAACCUGCUGUGCUAUUAUUUCGAUUAUUUCAAUCAGAAGGAUUUCAUUAGAACUUCUUAUAAGAGCAAUGCAUUAAUAUCGGGUGUGUUCAAGUGGAUUCUGGUCGUGAUUAUCGUGUGCAUUUGUACCCGAAAUCAGCGUAUUUCCAAAAUAGGAAAAGAGUCUCCGGCUCCGGUGAUGUGCUCGGGGAAUUUACUAGACCAAAGGGAUCACCACUACGCCAAAGAAGCUGAUGGAUCGUACGACAACAGUCGAAUGAUAUCCAAAUUGGGAUCUUGCCACCUGAUGCCUUACACUUUUAAUCAAGUAGUUGGCUGUUUUAAUGAUUUGCUUAAUGAAAAUAAUGAGCGAUACUACUUAGACCGGAAUCCUUCUAAUAAUCUGAACUUCAUCAAGAGACCCAAUAAAAAUUUGCAUUUUGCAUUCAUAGGCGAUUCCAGAAUUCGACAACAAUUUUUUAACUUGCUCAAGUUGAUUCCAGACUACGACCGGAAAUCAGAACCGAGCCCACUCCCAUUUGUUUAUCACGGUGAUAUGGAAGUUACUAGUGAGAUAAUGAGACUACGCUUAUCCUUUCAAUGGCGACCUCUAAUUAAUGACAGUGUUACCGAUACGAUACGUCAGUGGGCAACUUAUAGUCAAACUGAUCGACCAGACUUGAUUAUUCUAGGUAUUGCCAUGUGGCAUAUGUUUUCAACGCCGAAAGAAGACGACCAUCAACUUUAUCGGAAACAACUGAAGCGACUCGCUCCGUUCCUCGGCCAGUUGGCGAAUGUCAGCAAAGUUAUUUGGCUCAACCAAUACCCAGUCGUGGAAAAGUAUGGUGACAUUGGCGCUAUGAACACGGAGGUUUUUUCGGAAAAGAUCGAUCACUAUAAUGAUGCCGUUCGGUCUGAACUUCAGAAUUAUCCAGAAAUGCGAAUCUUGUGGGAUUCAAGUAAUUCAUUAGUUGAGGAAUACAUCCGCGGAUGUGUUGUCUUUCAACAGCGCCUGCAACUUGGAGUGUACCUGGUCACAGAUCCAGACUAUUCCUAUAUUAACUGCAAUGAUUGCAGACACCCAGGGUACUCGGCCCUGUCGCAAGCCACUCAACUUCUUUUAAAUGACCUUUGCAACGGCCAACAUUUAAAUUUCCCCCUUAAAUAAUAUCGGCAUUCACAUUUUGAUACCUUUUCCCUUUCACAUAUUAGGCUUGUGAACGCUACUACCCAUGGCAAGUGAAUACUCCGAACUUUAUCAAAUCCACCCAGAAGCACAUCAUACCCAUUGGCAACUAUUCCAAGGACUGGGGCAAAAGACAGAGACAGGCACAUCCGCUACAUCCGCACAGACGUCGUCUAUAAACUUGCGUGGCAAGUACACUCUCUAUGUUUAUUACCUUUUAUACAUAAAGCCACGCCUUUUAAUCAACCGCAGUAAUAAUCACUUGGAAUUAGUUGCCAUACUAAACGAAUAAGCAGCCAUAGCGAUAACAUAACAUCAGUGAGAAAUAACAUCCCUAAACAGAUUGUAAUGACUUCCGAGAGCAAUAAAUUUAUUUGCCUAAAGACAACAAA
rnacentral:misc_RNA from 1 species